rnacentral:rRNA from 1 species
UACGAACUGUGCAAACGUUAUUCGGAAUCACUGGGCUUAAAGGGUGCGUAGGCGGCUUGUUAAGCAGGGUGUGAAAGCCCUCGGCUCAACCGAGGAAUUGCGCCCUGAACUGGCGAGCUGGAGUGAGGCAGGGGUGUGUGGAACUUCCGGUGGAGCGGUGAAAUGUGUUGAUAUCGGAAGGAACGCCUGUGGCGAAAGCGACACACUGGGUCUCAACUGACGCUGAGGCACGAAAGCCAGGGGAGCGAACGGG